rnacentral:rRNA from 1 species
GACAGAGGGUGCAAACGUUGUUCGGAUUUACUGGGCGUAAAGCGCGUGUAGGCGGCUUUGCAAGUCGGAUGUGAAAGCCCACGGCUCAACCGUGGAAGUGCAUCCGAAACUGCAUGGCUGGAGUCUCGGAGAGGAAGGUGGAAUGCUUGGUGUAGAGGUGAAAUUCGUAGAUAUCAAGCAGAACACCUGCGGCGAAGGCGGCCUUCUGGACGAUGACUGACGCUGAGGAGCGAAAGCGUGGGGAGCGAACAGG